rnacentral:rRNA from 1 species
UUAGUACGGCGAGUGAGCGGCAAAAGCUCAAAUUUGAAAUCUGGUACCUUCGGUGCCCGAGUUGUAAUUUGGAGAGGGCAACUUUGGGGCCGUUCCUUGUCUAUGUUCCUUGGAACAGGACGUCAUAGAGGGUGAGAAUCCCGUGUGGCGAGGAGUGCGGUUCUUUGUAAAGUGCCUUCGAAGAGUCGAGUUGUUUGGGAAUGCAGCUCUAAGUGGGUGGUAAAUUCCAUCUAAAGCUAAAUAUUGGCGAGAGACCGAUAGCGAACAAGUACAGUGAUGGAAAGAUGAAAAGAACUUUGAAAAGAGAGUGAAAAAGUACGUGAAAUUGUUGAAAGGGAAGGGCAUUUGAUCAGACAUGGUGUUUUGUGCCCUCUGCUCCUUGUGGGUAGGGGAAUCUCGCAUUUCACUGGGCCAGCAUCAGUUUUGGUGGCAGGAUAAAUCCAUAGGAAUGUAGCUUGCCUCGGUAAGUAUUAUAGCCUGUGGGAAUACUGCCAGCUGGGACUGAGGACUGCGACGUAAGUCAAGGAUGCUGGCAUAAUGGUUAUAUGCCGCCCGUCUUGAAACACGGACACAA